UGGCCCUGUGGCGCCUAUGGCCGCCAGAUUGACACCGGCUAUCGAUUCCCCACACUAUUCGCAAAGGAACGAACGUCGCAGCUCGUCGUACCGAUAAGCAGCCCCUCGGAAAGAAAAGAUUAUGCAGUGUGUACGAGCAAGAGGGGGCGCGGGGGUGUUGCUGCAAGUUGGGGAGAUAUGGGCUUGUCGGUACCUAAUUAUGAAACCCUUUCGAUGUAGCUCAACUUGCACAUGGACGCAAAGGGAGAACAAGCCAUACACAAAGCGCUAACUUCUAGGUAGCUGAAGCAGAAUUCGAAAUAUUCAAGGCUUAUUCGCGCUGGCCACAGACCACGAUGACCUGAACUGCCCCGUGUUCGAGAGCGUCUAUUGUGAAAUCUGGAAGGCGGCUAACCUCUCGCGUUUGUCGCGCAUCUCACCAGUGUCCUUGAGCAACGAACUCACCGUGGAAACAGACGGUUUGCAUGACCAUAAUUUCCCAGCCAUGUUCAAUCCCGUGGUAAGAACGCGUACGUGCGACUUCGGGUAUGAAGGCCGCGGCGACAUGAAAUGCGCGUGCGACCUUUAAGAAAUGUUUCACGAUUCCGAUGGAGAUCCAGGGGAGAUUUCUGCUACUCUACCGUAAAAGGCGAUCGAUGAUCGUUAACUGCCUCGGCGUUACGGAAUGAUAGACCAGGUUACAGUGAAUUGCGCGUCACUUUCGGUAUGCCGCCUCAGGCUCAAUUGCGUCGUCGUCGGAGCAUACAAGCAGUCGCGAAUCUUUUCGUCAAAGUGCACACUUCUCUGCGUCAUGCUGAUAUUGACUCAGGGUCUGAAGUUGGCGAGGACAUUUUUGCACUAUCCGACCGUCGUCUGCAUGGCAGUCGCCGUUCUAGCAUGGUUCGACUGUCUGCCAGCCUUCUGUUCAGCCUACGGGUGGUCUUCGACAUCGGAAGAAGUCUCACAGCCCCCCUCAAGCUCUCGUCGACUCGUGAAAGUGUUCCGGUCAAUAGCAGCCUCUACUGCUGGACAUUUCUGCGUCCUCAUAAAUGAUCAUCGGCCUAGUAAUCUCAAUUGCGAGAAGAAGGCCUCUCACAUCGAUAUGCAAUUACUCCAAUCUCACGAGAGUUAAUUCAAUCCUAUGCGAGCAAAUUUCUUCAUCAAAUCACACUACCUAAUCCGCUGUUGCUUUUACCGCAAAUUUUCUUUCCCCUUUGACUCCUGUUUAUUUGACAUUAUAGAAUAUUGGUUAUAUGCUUGAUGCACUACGUACACAACCUAACGAGCUUCCGUUCUACCUAGUAAUCACAAAUACCAUAUCAUGAGCGCCCGCUGGCUCUCUCAUUCAUAUCGUGGUCCUCCUUUCUUUCAACACUUCACCUAUCGUUUUUUUUUUUUUUCUAUCGAACGUUGCAUAGUCAUUUACGUCUCAGGGAUGCACCUGUGGUAUACUUUAGUUUUCAACGAUAUCUGCACGCUGCAGCUUCCACGUGGUGUGGAUAAUCCAAUCAUGUAUUUAUUGCAGCGAAACUUACCAUGCAUGCAUGGCCACAAUAAAAACUUAUCCCCACGCAAUCGUCUCGUUCCUGCGUCCUCAACUGCGACUCUGAUGCAGUGGCAGCAAUCGUUGUCACUGUAAAGAAGGGCCAUACGUGUUCACACACUAUAAACAACGCCUCCCCCCGCCC